UACGAGGGGGGCGAGCGUUGUUCGGAAUUAUUGGGCGUAAAGGGUGCGUAGGCGGUUUUGUAAGUCUUAUGUGAAAUCUACAGGCUCAACUUGUAGUCUGCAUGAGAAACUGCAGGGCUUGAGUAUGGGAGAGGUGAGUGGAAUUCCUGGUGUAGCGGUGAAAUGCGUAGAUAUCAGGAGGAACACCUGUGGCGAAAGCGGCUCACUGGACCAUAACUGACGCUGGAUGCACGAAAGCUAGGGGAGCAAACAGG
rnacentral:rRNA from 1 species